rnacentral:rRNA from 1 species
UACAGAGGGUGCGAGCGUUAAUCGGAAUUACUGGGCGUAAAGGGCGCGUAGGCGGCCGCCUAAGUCAGACGUGAAAUCCCCCGGCUUAACCUGGGAACUGCGUCUGAUACUGGACGGCUUGAGUAUGGGAGAGGAACGUAGAAUUCCAGGUGUAGCGGUGAAAUGCGUAGAUAUCUGGAGGAACACCGGUGGCGAAGGCGGCAUCCUGGACCGAGAUUGACGCUGAGGCGCGAAAGCCAGGGGAGCAAACGGG